CUCUACUCCGACAGAUAAUGGAUGUCACUGGAGUCUUAGCAAAGGGAGCUGAGGAUUAUUUCUGAGCCAACUAAGAAUCCUUUAAAGUCCGUUACAUUCCCCAGGUAGAGAUACCAAAGUUCUGCGAGAGUCCUGACUAUAGCGCAGGUCGGGGUGAAGUGUGCCCUGAAGAACUGCAACGAAGCCUGCCUCGAUCUUGAAAGUGGAACUGAUUUGAAACCAGGGAUCAACUAUGCAGGAACCUUUCCCCAACAGAUUGUUUUAAUUAAUUCUAAUUUUUGAUCAAAGUAUUGCAUUGGAAGCAUUUUCUCUUCUGCUAU
rnacentral:lncRNA from 12 species